ensembl:misc_RNA Metazoa_SRP Metazoan signal recognition particle RNA
UCUGGGCUUGGUGGUGCGUGCCUGUAGUCCCAGCUAUUUGAGAGGCCGAGGCUGGAGGAUCUCUUGAGUCCAGGAGUUCUGGGCUGUAGUGCACUAUGCCGAUAGGCUGUCCGAACUAAGUUUGGCAUCAAUAUGGUGACCUCCUGGGAGCGGGGGACCACCAGGUUGCCUAAGGAGGGGUGAACCGGCCCAGGUCGGAAAUGGAGCAAGUCAAAACUCCCAUGCUGAUCAGUAGUGGGAUGGCGCCUGUGAAUAGUCACUGCACUCCAAUCUGGGCAACAUAGUGAGACCCCGUCUCUU